rnacentral:lncRNA from 1 species
GAUAGUCCAGAACAAUAGAAUUUCUGAACACUUUAACAGCAUCAGCAUAUUUUUUGACUUCUUGUGCUGUUUCUUGGGUUGAACCACUUAUAUCUUUGUCGAUGGCCAAGACUCUUUGGUAAGUCUUGAUGUCCUGGAACUUCGAAAGCACUGAACUGUCAUCUGACUGAAUCAAAACUUUCUGAGUAGAUUGCUUAUCCAAUGUGGCGUUGCUCAAGGCAGUGGUGACAGCACCAACAAUGUCAAGACCCUUGUUUGAUGCUAGAUAGGCAGCAUUCUGAUUAAAAGAUCAAGUGUUAAUUAACUUGUGCACGGUUGAAGAGUAUAAUCAUGAUGUUACAUGAGACGUGGGAUAUGUAAAAGUUUUACAAGGAACCCGGAAGUCAAAAUAUAUCUUGACAAAUGGAGUCCAUGAAAGAGUUUGAAGUGAAGUGAAUCUUACUUCAAUGUUAAUUAGAACUCCUGUAACUGCCCUUUUCUUAGCAAGAUCCAAGAAUUCAUUAAGAGUAACGAACUUUCCUGCAUUCUUGUUUGCAGGGUUUCGAGCAAGAGGGCCAUCAAAAACGCUUGCAAGUUGAGCUGAAAAGGGAGAAAAGCAUCAUAUGUCAAAAGCUUGAAAAGGUGUUAUAACCAUUUUACUAUUAAAUAAAGCGUUUUGCUUACGUUUGAGUGAUUGAAUUUCAGUCCAAGUGAGAUCAAAGGAGAAUAUUCCAUUCUUAUCUUGAAUUUCAGGUAUCCUGGUAGAUCGGUCCAUGAAAAGAGAUGCUGCAGUGGUUGUCCCUAUAAGAUCAGCAGAAGGCAAGCAGAAGGCGGUUCCAUCCUUGGACAGUUGAACAGAACAAUCGAUUAUCUCGGUUCCAUCAUCUAUGGCUUUCUGGUAUGCAAGAUCAGUCGACCCAGGGUAAUCUCCACUUGCUCCGUCGUCAGAUAUUAUCAGUGCUUUAAUGCAAGAAGACAACGAGUUAUUCCAUGUAGCAAUAGAUUGCAUAAUUUUGUUUUCCAAGACUAUGAAACGAUACAAAGUGUAACACUAUGAAACGAUACAAAGUCUUACCUUUUACAAUUUUGGGAGCAUUCUUGUUCUGGGCUAGGCAUGCUGCAACAUGAGCAGUUCUCAGGUCAGAACUAGAUCAUGUAAAACCAAGGAAGAAAGCUAAUGUAAAAUUUUGAGACAGUUUCAGUCAGUUUGACUUUUUGAUAGGUUUUACAGUACUCUUCCUUUUGACUCAUUGAGAAAUAUAUUAUAGGAAUGGAGGAGAGAAAAAGCAUAAUCUCACCAAUGGACUCUGAUGCGGUGGCAGGGAAAUCCGUAAUUACCCCGUCAACCGAAAACUGAGAAUUGUCUAUAAACUGCAGAUACUCCUUGGUUGGAUCAUAGCUAUAAUUAUAACUUAAGUAGUCAUCAUUUGCAAAGCCAGAAGCAUACACUUCAACACCUGCUUUGUGGAAAUCAGAUACAGAACUCGUAGCAGGCAGCAAUAGCCUUCCACUAUCUACGGGCCAUAUGCUUUCUUUUGGAAGAAUAAUCCCGGAUGCAAAUGUCUUGAUCAUAUUUAUGUCUGACAGCAGUGUAACAUAUGUCUUCUUCGUUGUAGGUUCAACUUCGUUUAUGUCCGGAAUCUUAAAAAUGAGCUUUGCCGGGUUCACCUUUCCUACUAAGCCCUUCAAGAAUCCAAUCUCUGGUGAUGAAAUGUAUGCAGGAUUCAAGUCUCUCAUGGUAUCUAUAAUAAAUGCUGAUGAGCUGAGUUUCAGUCCGUCGUAGAAACUAGGAUACUGCAGCACAAAAUUGCAACAACAUCAAAUCCAAAUUGUGAAAAACAAAGAAAUCCCAAAAAUUUAUGGACGACUCCUCUAAAAUUCGUGAUUGAUUCUUGGUGUAUUUUGAAUUCUGCUUGUGUUAAAUUACCAUUAAUUAGUGUCAGUUAAAUGAAAAUAAAAGAGCAAGGAAAGGACCUCGACGUUCAUCCAUAGUACUGGAGGAGGACCUUGCAUGCCCACAACAUCAUAGGGU